CUCGACUGUUGCUGCUACCUUGACGUGGUGGUUGGGAUUGCCUAUCGUGAUGAGUCAAUCGAACUAUAUUGGCUGGAAAAAUCGUUCCUCAAGGUCCUACCAUGUCUGACAGGCAAGUCGGUGAAAGAGCGGUAAGACUAAAAGCAGC
rnacentral:ribozyme from 1 species